rnacentral:lncRNA from 1 species
CAACUGUUGAAAAACUCAAGUUACCUCCUGGAGGGUAAGUGGAAGCUGAGGGACAUCGGUGGGAGGCAGGUGUCUCUCUGUACCCUUUACACUUUUCCAGUUUUGAAUUUUACAUAGAUACUGCUUGUUCGAAAAAUUUAAAGAAUGAUUUUUAUCUACUUAAGCACCAAGUAACUGAUAGGUUACACACAGGAGAUACGUGUUUGUUUACACUGCAGGGCUCGACACUGCACAACUGGCACAAUCUUCCCAAAAGUCAACCCGUUUUCUAAAACUUCCGCAGAACCACCCUGACCGUAAAGACGAUUUCAACAACGAGAUAGGCAGUUUUGGCCCGUGGCCUGGGCCCGGGAGACUCGCUCAAGAGGGAAUGUGCGGUGCCCGGCAGGAUUUUAAUUCCGGGUCACCCGCCCCGCCCUGCGGCCUUGGGUAGAGUUUAGCCCCCUCAUCCCGUGUCCCGGGGGUCGCGCGACGUCCCCGAGACGCCCUGGCCGGUACUCGCAGCUCGCGCCUUUCGUUCCGCUCAAGUUCCUCCGCCGCGACCUCAGGACAGGCCGAAGAGGCGCGCACUACUCACGUGUCUUCCAAGUGCUGCUCCAAGGUCGCCUCCAUCCCACCCACCGACCACUCCGGCUCAGAACCCAGCGGCACGGCACGUCCUUCUCCACCACAGGCCUCAGUCACUUGACGCGAGCGGGGCGUGGACCGUAACGGCGCCUCCAAAGGGACAAAAUUGAUCACGGUGCAACGUCCGCGUUCUUUACUGGAAAACAUCACUGCGCUUCCGUCGCACAGAGCCUGACGAAGGCUUGGGCUCCCCGCGCGGUGACCGUCGAGGUGACCUGCACCUGGCUCCAUGGCGGAACCGGCCGGCACGGAUUAUUCCCCUCUCGGGAGAGGUCUGCAGCCGGGCCUCAGUGCUUCAGUUCGUGGCCUGGCAUUUUGUGAAGAGUGUCUUCAUCUCUGCAUCCCUAGUGCAACAGAGCAUGACAAAAAUUCAACAAAUAUUUAUUGAAGAGUCUUGAUGUCUUUUGGGAAAGGAACUCUAUGGUUACCUUUACUCUAAGAUUAGAUGGGUGUUACUGAUUCUUACCUCAGAGAAGAGAAUGUCAUGGAGACAAAAUGACCUGCUUAGAGUUCUGCACCCCCCAGCAUGGAGAGCAGAGCGCAAAGAUUUCUUCCGGACUCCCACAUUCCCCUUGGAAUCCAAGAACUGGUCUACUGUCACAACACUUUAGUACCCUCUUCUCCCAAGGAGGCAGCAGAAACUGGGGUAAUCACAACGGUCAACAGCAGCAAAGGCAGCACUUUCUGAUUUACUUGACUGCUAUGGAUGCCACCUCUCUCCACGCCUCAGUUUAAUAUCUGUAAGUUUGGUCAGUAUCUCAUUCAAGAACAUUGCAUUUACUCUGGUACUUAAAGAUGAAAAAUCAACAUUUACAAAGCAGAUCCAUUGUCAAC